rnacentral:ncRNA from 1 species
UACAACCACCACGGGGGCUCGCACCAGCGGGCUGAGAGGACGGCUAGGGCCGUCGACCGGAUGAACCUGACCGGAUAAUGCCGGCGUAGGGAGCGCACCAUGCAGGAG